AGGUCGGCAGUCCUGUGGGUGAGAACAGCUCAUUGAUGAGAGGUCGGCAGUCCUGUGGGUGACAACAGCUCGGUGAUGAGAGGUCGGCAGUCCUGUGGGUGACAACAGCUCGGUGAUGAGAGGUCGGCAGUCCUGUGGGUGACAACAGCUCAUUGAUGAGAGGUCGGCAGUCCUGUGGGUGACAACAGCUCAUUGAUGAGAGGUCGGCAGUCCUGUGGGUGACAACAGCUCAUUGAUGAAAGGUCGGCAGUCCUGUGGGUGACAACAGCUCAUUGAUGAGAGGUCGGCAGUCCUGUGGGUGACAACAGCUCAUUGAUGA